CAGGCCGGCGCCGCGCCAUCAGGCGCCCGGUGAAGGUUUCCACUCAGAAGCCUUGGGUGGGAAAUUGGGCUCUUAGAUGACAAAAACGUGUCCUAGAAAGUAAAUUAAUAGUCGCAUUCCUGACAAACGUUCCUACUCUGAGCGCUCAGUGAGUGCUUCUAGAAUAAUUUAGCCACACGACUCACGACGGAUUUUCAGCGGCGAUUAGCGACCGCACCAAGAAGAAAAACAAGAUGCCUGUGCCCGGCGCUGUCCGCGCCUUUCCAUCUUCCGCCCGCUGGAACCUUCUGGCAAGAAGGGGAGGAGGAGGACUCGAGCAAAGGAAGAGCGUUUGCACCACCCGGUUGAUUACCAAAGCUGAACUCUCAGGAGGAAGAGAUUUUGCCCCAUUGAGAUAAUCGGGCUCUUAUCAACCCCAGCAGACUCCCAGGGGACCCAGCUUCCACGAAUUCACAAGUACACUGAGAGGCAGGCAGAGAGAGAGAGAGAAGGAAGCAGGCUCCCUGCUGAGCAGAGAGCCCGAUGCAGGACUCGAUCCCAGGACCCUGAGAUCAUGACCUGAGCCGAAGGCAGCGGCUUAACCCACUGAGCCACCCAGGCGCCCCAGUGGACAGAUCAACUGAAGACUGGAAAUGUCAGAUGAUCACUCAGGAAUUUGUCACAUGGCAACUAUAUUCCAUCGGCAGAAACCCAGGCGGUUACCAUCAUUCAUUAUGACACAUCCCUACUUGCUGCACUGGUUGCUAGCAGAGUUCCUUGAGGGCUUUGGUAAUCAGGGCAGAGGCAGAAGGUUCCACUUCAGUCUGCGCCUGUGUGUUCUGAAUGGUCAGUUUCACUGCAGUCCUCAGGCCCUUCAAAUCACCAGCUGCCUUGUCGCUGUCAUCACCAACCUUUUUUGGAGACAGAUCCAGGGGGCCGAUCUUCUGGACCAGGACAGACUUCUCUACCGGUGCACCUUAGAAUGAUGCCCUUUUCUGACUCAACCCUAAAUAGACAGCCCCAGGCUACCUUGCAGGUGCAUAUGAGGAUUCUUCCCCAGCCCCUUGUGGUUGGGCAAGACCACAUGACUUGCUUCAGCCAAUGAGACGUACACAGAAAUGACCCAUCACCUCCACUUAGCUGCACUGAAGAGCUGGUGUGGGGGCUUCUCUUUUCUCUGCCCCUGCUGUGAGGAUUGUGGACACUUCUGUUGGUGUGGAGGUGCCCGGACAUGGAAGCUGCUUGAAGUGCUGAGCCAGCCCUUGAAGGACAGGAGCCGGAUGUGAUUGUGCAUCCAGCCAUCAUCUAGCCGCCAUGAUGGUUGGUGGCUAACAACUCAGAGUUGCACCCUUCUCAGGAAAAUAGUCCUCAGUUUGUCCCAAGUAUUUGGAUGGCCAACGAACAAUGACUGACGGAUGCAGUGAGGAUACAGAGGCCCAGCCUGCUUGCUUCAAGGCCAGAAGACUUCAUGGUACCAUGUUUGCUCUACAUCUUCCAGUGAGGUCAGGCUGAGGUAAAGCUUCAUUUGAACCCUUAUCUUUACUAGGUUAUCCCGCUGUCUUAGCCUGUUUCCUGCCUUCUUUAGAUUUCACUGAAGAGAACAUCUUUGAUAAGUCAAUUGUAUAGAAAUCUUCAUCUCAGCCAUGGCUUCUAGGGAACCUGACCUAAGACAGCUGAUAAAAAAUGAAAUCUUUAAAAAAGAAAAAAGAAUUUGGCUCGUACAAUUUAGCAAGACAAUUAUCGAAGCAAGAGCGGUCACAGAUCACUGGUUAUGAGCAAAAAAAUUGUUUUCUUAAAGCACACUCUGUUGUUCUCUAUAUACUUAGAGCACAUUUACUAUCAAGAUCUGUAUUGUAUGUUUUUCCUGGAAGUCUGGCUGGCCAUAUCUCCUGAAAGUGUUCGAAAUACAACGCUGUUAAUCAAGAAUGCUUAUGACAGCCACCGCUCCCUGUGGGAGUGAGAGGAUGGGAAGGGCUCUCCUCCACGCAGGGAUGGUGAGAAGUUGAUAGCUAAUCUCCACAUUCUAAUUGUGAUGCCAUUUUUAGCAUCUUUGUUCCCAGGCUCCUUUGUUUCGUCUUCAAGCAACUGUUCCUUGAACCUGAUGAUCUGUCCACAUUACUUUCCCAGCCUUCAAAAAAGAAACCAAACUUCAGUCUGCUAUAGUGAUCAUUUUUUGUUGUUAAAUAUAACAUAUGGAAAAGUGCACAAAACAGAUGUGUAGGGUAAUGACUAGUUACAAAAUGAAUACCAGUAUUGAAAAAAUAGAAAAUUGCCAUGCCCCAGAAGACCUUGUGAGUUGCUACACCUUCCUAACUUCCUUGUCCCCAGAGUAAAGACUUAAUACCAUAAAACCAAAUUAAACCAGACCAA